AUGAUCCACUCCAAGAGUGAACAUGGGGAUUUUCCUUAUCAUCGAUUAUUGCAAAAAUGGUUGCUAACCUCUAUAGCAUAUAUAUGUGGACAUCAACAACCUGUAAUUAUUGUUUGUGCAUAUAUUAGAUAUGCUCAGAGAUCAACAUUGCCUCGUGAUGAUUCACCCGAUUCCCAUGACAAAGAACUUGACUGCAUUUUGAUUGCCAUGCAGGUUGGGACCAGCCAUACUGUUCUCGUGCACGCUGCUGCUGGUGGAGUUGGGUCACCACUUUGUCAAUGGGCGAAUGCCCUUGGUGCCACUGUCAUUGGAACUGUUUCCAAUGAAUAG
rnacentral:rRNA from 1 species